CAUUUGCUGCUACAUCAGCUUUUGUGGCUACCUGGGACAGUGUACCGUAUUAUAAUGGUGGAGGGGUGGUCACUUUCCAAGUGGUUUUAGCGUACAAUGUUCAUCGCUCUUUCAUCCUGAUCUAUUACGGAGAUGUUGCAGAAACAGAACAACCUUGGCAGGCUGGUUAUAACACUGUGGACUCUGCCAGUUCUUUCACAAUUCCAGCAGCCAGUGUCCCUGAG